UACGUAGGUGGCAAGCGUUGUCCGGAAUCACUGGGCGUAAAGCGCGCGCAGGCGGCGAUCUACGUCUGGGGUGAAGGCCCGGAGCUCAACUCCGGGACUGCCUUGGAUACGGGAUCGCUUGAGAAUUGGAGAGGCAAGGGGAAUUCCACGUGUAGCGGUGAAAUGCGUAGAUAUGUGGAGGAACACCUGUGGCGAAGGCGCCUUGCUGGCCAAUUUCUGACGCUGAGGCGCGAAAGCGUGGGGAGCAAACAGG
rnacentral:rRNA from 1 species